GAGGGAGCAACCCUAAUUCAUUUGCGAGAAACGUAGAAAAAAAAAACAAACCUCUCUCUCCCAUCUUCGACGGCGCUGCAGCCUCCACUGUCGAUCCAGAUUCUUGCGCAUGAACGGCUUCUUAAAGACGGUGAUUACUCUCAUCUAAUCAUACCCCUCAACGCGACGUCUUCAAUGCUGUUCGUGGAUCCUAAGUUCCGAGUUGUAGUAUAUAUAGGUGUGAAGUUUCUUCUCUUCACCUCAUCCUCCCUUACAAAGUAUUACAUUAAUCCUCUAUUAUUUCGAGAUGGCUAACACCAGAGUCUUCUUCUCCGACCUGAAGUCCGGCCGGUGCAGCUCCUUCGUGGAGGCCAGACUGCUCCGGUUCUGGGAGGCGAGGAACAUUAAGCGUGGUGGUGAAUUGAUGUGGGUCGAUAUGCUUUUCGUCGAUGUUAAUGCUGCACCUGUUGUACCUCCACUGUCGAGGUUCGCCGUUCUGGGAAGCAAAGAAAUAUGAAGCGUGGUGUCAAGCUUAUGGGUGUAGACAAGGAGAUGGGCAUUAAAUUGCUAUCAAGUUCUGUUAUCAAGCACUACUCCACAGCCAUGGAGAUUGACGAUGAAUAAAUAUCUUAGAUCCUAUUGUCCAGAUCAAAUCCUCAUGAUGUUCAUCUGGAGAUGGGAAAGGUAGUAUUACUUCCACUGUCAAGCUGAUUGAAUAGUGAUAUGUUUCUUCCCAACAAAGUGAUUGACUUGAUUGAUGAAGAUGGGUCUCUGGCUCAACUAUGUCAUGCUCAGAUACUAAGGCAAAUAAAGUGAAGAAAGCUGAGACUGAAGAUGGUCAAUCUCUUACUGCCACUGAAUCCAAGAUCUAACAUUAUCUCCACCCCGACAUGAGUCCUGGUUGAGAAAGUCUGAUGAAUCUAGCUAUCUUUCCAAGAUGGGCAGACAGUUCACAAAGGAGUUGUUAUCCGGACGAUUCGAUGUGUUGGGCUCAAGAACUAAAACCUCCCAAUUCAAUGUUAUGAAUUUUCUUUAAAGUAUUCUAUGUACUAAUCCUUUGUUUAGUAUUUUAUUUCAUACUACUUGAUUCUACAUAUAAAAAUCACACUAGGUUGUUUUCGCUGAGAAAAUAUUUGCAAAAUAUGUAUUUAAAAAAUGUAGAUAUGACUUAUAAGUUCUCAUAUUUUUUUUUCCUU